CCUACGGGGGGCAGCAGUGAGGAAUAUUGGUCAAUGGACGAGAGUCUGAACCAGCCAAGUAGCGUGAAGGAUGACUGCCCUAUGGGUUGUAAACUUCUUUUAUAUGGGAAUAAAAUGUUCCACGUGUGGGAUUUUGUAUGUACCAUAUGAAUAAGGAUCGGCUAACUCCGUGCCAGCAGCCGCGGUAAUACGGAGGAUCCGAGCGUUAUCCGGAUUUAUUGGGUUUAAAGGGAGCGUAGGUGGAUUGUUAAGUCAGUUGUGAAAGUUUGCGGCUCAACCGUAAAAUUGCAGUUGAAACUGGCAGUCUUGAGUACAGUAGAGGUGGGCGGAAUUCGUGGUGUAGCGGUGAAAUGCUUAGAUAUCACGAAGAACUCCGAUUGCGAAGGCAGUUCACUGGACUGCAACUGACACUGAGGCUCGAAAGUGUGGGUAUCAAACAGGAUUAGAUACCCGGGUC
rnacentral:rRNA from 1 species